rnacentral:rRNA from 1 species
AAACUGCUGCCGAUAGCUCACCCUGAAAGAAAAGGCAGCGGCGGCUGCGAUUCUGGAUAGGAGCGGCGGCGCGGUUGAGCAAAGGCGUCGGCGUUCGUGCUAGCACGAGCGAGUCUCCUGGAAGCACCGAGCCGACAGUAAAAAGCAGCGGCGUCAUGGGCGAUUUUACCUUGGUCACGGCGAGGGGAUUUUAUAGGUGCUCGGGCACCUCGGCGUCCGCGAGGUCGUGGCCGCGUGGCGCGUACGCCAGCCAUGGGGGCUAUCCCCGAUUCGGCAUGGCUCCAGCUCGCUCUUCGCUCCAAAGAAGCCCGGCGUCACCGGAGGGAUGCCUGCAAAAAUUUGGGCGAGGUACUGACGUGGAAAUAUUUGGUUUAAAGAUUGCCAACCACCGAAUGCAGAAGGCAUUCAAUUUUCAGUGCUUUGCUUCCGGCGGGGGUGGAUUUGGGACUGAUUUUACAAAUAAGAAAAGAAUUAAAAGCAGGAAGAGGGCAAAGGAUGUUGUACAGGACCCAAGCAAGGUAGCAUCUGCAGACUCAAAGAACCAGGGACAGUGGGCACCAGAGUUAGGAAUUGGAAGAGAAAACAAAUCUGGUAAAACGGUCAUGGAUAAGAAAUUUCUGGAAAAAGUUGAAGCUGUUCGAAGGUCUGCACUUGAUAAAAAGAAAGUUGAAGAGAACAAAACUUAUCAAGCUAUUGAUUAUGAUGCUCCAAUCGAAUCAGAUAAGAGUACACUUGGCCUUGGUACAAGGGUUGGAAUUGGCAUAGCUGUUGUGGUUUUUGGACUAGUCUUCACUUUUGGGGAUUUCCUCCCUUCUGGAAGUGUUAGCCCUAGCAAUGAAAGCACUGUGGUUAACAAACAGCUUNNNNNNNNNNNNNNNNNNNNNNNNNNNNNNAGGGCACUUGAAGGAUACGAAGAAACACUGGCCAAGUCACCUAACGAUCCUACCGCUCUUGAGGGUGCAGCAGUAUCGUUGGUUGAACUAGGUGAAUAUCAGAAGGCUUCAGAUCUACUUGAGAAGCUAGUUAAGGUAAUCCCCGAGAAAGCAGAAGCAUACCGCUUGUUAGGUGAAGUAAAGUUUGAGCUCAAGGAUUAUGAUGGGAGUUCUUCAUCAUACAGGAACUCUCUAUCUUCAUCUGACAGCAUUGAUUUUGACGUUCUCCGUGGGCUGACAAAUUCAUUAGUUGCUGCUAAGAAGCCUGAUCAGGCAGUCGAAGUAAUUCUGUCUUGCCGUCGCAAGUUGAGUGAAAAGCGUCAAACCAGGCAACCUGAUUUGGAGGCUGCAAAUGAGAAUGGUGGUCAGGAGUUUCGAGAUAUUGAUCCUAUCCAAGUUGACCUGCUUCUUGGAAAGGCCUAUUCUGAUUGGGGCCAUAUCAGUGAUGCUGUUACUGUUUAUGAUAACUUAAUCACUGAACAUCCUGAAGACUUCCGUGGUUAUUUGGCGAAGGGAGCUAUACUGAAGCAAAAUGGCAAGGCAGGUGAUGCAGAAAGAAUGUUUAUUCAGGCCAAAUUCUUCGCCCCAGAGGCAGCAAAGGCACUUGUUGAUAUUUAUGCACAGAGAUAGUCCACGAGAGGUAAAGGAGGAAAAAACUUUCGUUUGAGGUGGAUUUCCUCACUUCACCAAACUUAAGCUGUCGUGGACUGUUAGCACUCGGUAGGACAUUACAGGCGAGGGCAACAGUCCAUGUUAAGCUUGUAGAAGAUCAAGCAGUCCAAGUGAAGGAAGGAAAAAACCAAUAGGAGAAGAGCAAGAGUUCGAACUUCAAAGGGAAGGAAAAGAGUUUGAAAAGGUUUGGGUCAAAGUCUUAGGAUACAUGUAUAGUUCAAUUCGGUCCAAAGCUCAGUUUGUCGCUGCUAUUCCCUUCAUGUUCUAAAAGGACAAAAGUUCUGAAAAAGUGCUUACUCUGCUUGAGAAAUACAGUACUAGUACGAGUAUCUGGCUAUUAUGGCCACAUUUCAUCAAGUAUGCUGUUCCUUUGAAACACCAAUAUGUAAAAGGGUUCAACCUAGUGAGAUUUCUGUAAUUCGCCACCGCCUAGUCCAGAUGACAAAUGGUAUCGGGUCCACGUGGCAGUGAUC